AAACCCUUCAAGCUCUGCUUGGCGUUGGACGGCUGUUCUGCCCACGUGCACGAACUCGUCUCAAAUCUAUUGGCAGUUUGUAGAUUGGAUUCUGUGUGCAGCACAUUGCACGACGACUCCAGCCUGCCUCCUUCCAUCGAGUUUUCCCAUU
rnacentral:misc_RNA from 1 species